rnacentral:rRNA from 1 species
AUGGCGUGCCCCAACUGCAUCUCCAGCAGAGAAUAUGAAGAGAAGGUGAGGUGUAUGGGCAGCGGAUCUCGGCCAAGAAGGAAGGAAGGACGAACCUGGGACCACCGGAGACACGCCGGCGAAGUCAUGCCCGAAACCCUAGCCAUGGGUGUGUGGUUGCGAGCGGGCUGUAGAGGCCGGGAGCAGAGAGUCUGGGUGGAGGGGAGGGAGGCGCGAACCGUCGGCAGCUUGGGGCGUGCCGCGCUGCGCCGGAGGCGCCGGAAGCAGCCGGCAUGGGCGGCGGCGGCGGCGAUGACUUCAUAG